GGCCCGAUAGCUCAGUGGUAGAGCGAGAGAUUGCAGCUAUCAAGCAACAAUUAUCUCUAGGUCACGUGUUCGAUCCACGUUCUGGCCU
rfam:Exophiala spinifera strain CBS 89968 unplaced genomic scaffold supercont1.4, whole genome shotgun sequence.